AUAGAAAACCACUGGACACAUGGUGGGAGGUCAGAAUCCAGACUAACAAUCCAGAAAUUGUCGGAGUGGAACCCAGCUCUCCAGACUUCAACAGCCUGCCCCAGGGAUUCUGCUGGAAGCUGAAGUUGAGAAUCCUGUACUGCUGCCUUGUUUUCCAUAAGGUUAGGCUAACACAUGGGCUGGGUGUGAACCUGGGCCAGGCAUCCUUUUAGCCAUACAAAUAUUAACUCAGGGAAGUUCACAAAUGACUCCGUGAGAAAACCUAAUGAAGUGGAGGUGCACAGUGGCAGAGGAAACCAGGCAGCUUUGAGCAGCCAAAAGGAUUCUAGAGUCAAGCUCUUCUGGGCUGAGACAAAAAUCCCCAGCAGUGUGUCUGGCUCCUAGAGGACAUUCUGGGCCUGGCUGAGAAUGCGGUCCUACAGGUGGCAUUACCUCACCUGAGAGAGACGAUGGCCCCCGUUCUCUGAGAUCUGCUGCUUUGUCAAGACUGAGGUAUAUGUCAUCUGCAACGCCAACUUCAGUGUCUGGAACCCUGGGGAAUGUUAGCCUCGCCCUGCACCAGGCCACAAACUCAAAAUGACAUCCUGGGCUUUUGAAACACCUCACUAUACGGGACACAGAGUAGUGGUCUCUCACAGGGAGCUGGGACCUCAGUUUGACCUC
rnacentral:lncRNA from 1 species